GAGCCCCAGGAUGAGGCACACAUUCAAGAAAAAUUCAUGCCUCUCCAUCUUUUCCCCAGGAUUGCCCUUUGGGGAGACUCUCCUUUGCGAUUGCUUCACCUUCCCCGGUUCAUAGAACAAACUUCUUCUCAGUCUCUUUUGUUGUCUCUUGUCUGUUCAACAAACACCCACUAUGCAGGACCAUCCUCGGGGUACCAGGCACCAGGCUGUUAAGCUGUGGAUGGGCAACCGCACAUCGCAUUGGAUGUGGUAUUUCAGCGCGUGGAGUUGGCCAGUGAAGCCGGCGGAGGUCGACACAGCCUACAGCAGCGCGCGUGUCCGUGGGGAGGAAGGGUCCUCCCGCCUCCCCCCAGGCCAGUCCUGUUGCGCCUCCUCCUGCCCCACUCUGACUUUCGCGCGCCCAGGUGUCUCUGAGGGUCGCGCCCCGAUACCCUCCUCCACCCCAAGGCUGCUUCUCCCCAAGGGCCGGGCUGGGGGCCCAGGAGGGCCACAGCCCCCAUGGGCCCGGGAAAUCGUAGCUUCCUCAUAGCUAAGCCCGCCGCGCUCAGCUUUUCCCACCACCUGGAGGAUCCACUCUCCAUCCAUCCUUCCCGACCUCAGGCUGCAGAGAAAACUUGGGGGCGGGGUCGAGGAAGCCGCGCCCCGAGGCUCCCAGCGCAGCCCCAGGAGGAAUCCUGCCGGGAACUACAAGCCGUGCGGGCGGCCCUGCUCGGCGCCGACAACAGCCCGAGCGGCCAGGCCUGCCGCCAGCCUCCGCAUCCAGGUGGGGUCUCCGCGCCCCAAUUCCACCCCACACCGCCAUCGGCGCUCCGGGCAAGUGCGGGGUUUCCACCCGCCCUGGCGUUGGCGCCCACUCACGGUCUUCCUCGCCCCCUCGGGAGACGCUCCCUGCGUUCUAUCCCACCCCGCCCUGGCAGCCCCGCAAACGAUGUGACCCCGCCCCCCUGCGGUCUCCCCUCCCCCAAACGCUGCCCCUGCCCCCACUUGGGGAGCUCCCGGCAUCUCUAAAGCCCUCAACCAGAGUCCUCCAACCCACCCGCGAGGCUCGCGCACCAGCAAAGCGGCCCCACCCGCAGGGACCCCGCCACCUGUGGCGCUACCCCCGCCUCUGCGGCCUUCCUCACCGCUAGCGCGGCCCCCACCUACGACGACCCCCGCGUAGGUGCUCCUGCCCACACCCCCCCGCCCCCGCCAGCUCUGCCCCUUUCCCUGCCCCUGCCCCUAGCCGCGCCCCCGCCCCCGCAGCCCCUCCCGUGCGCUCGGGCCCCGCCUGUCACCGCCCAUUGGCGCUGGGGCCGGGCGGGGCGGUCGUUCCGAGUCCGGCGCGCGCGGGCAGAGUCACCAUUGCCUGCUGCGCACCCGGACUAGCGGCUGCCUUCGGCCUCCUCGCCAUGGACGCGGAUGACUCCCAGGCCCCCAAGGGCUCCUUGCGGAAGUUCCUGGAGCACUUCUCCGGGCCGGCAAGGCCAUCGGCGUGCUGACCAGCGGCGGGGACGCUCAAGAUGCGUGGAAAGGCCCGGAUGGCGGAUUUCUUCCCGUUUGGACCGCGCACUGCACAAGGAUGGAGCGGGGAUGGGCCCACAGCCCACCGCCCGGUGACCUUCCCUUCACCCUUGAGCGCGCGGGGUGGGCGCGGGCGCUGCAGGUUGGGGCGCUGUGGGCGCCGCCCCGCCCCUCGCGAGCGCCUACGUGAUGCCGGCCGGUCGUCUGCGUGCGCCCAGGCCCCGAAAUCCGUACGCGGCGCGCUCCCCCAGCCCGCAGGGCAGCCUCCCCAGGCCCAGCGCCCGGGCGGGAGACCCCGGUGGCAGCGCCAGGCCCCGCCCCGCAGCCCGCUCCCCAGCGCCCCUGGGAAGUGCUCUGGCUUUAGCGUUCUAGUUAAAGGACCCCAGCGUCAGCAUUCCUCCUGCAGGGUUGCGUUCUCAGAGAAAGAAAACGUGAUGCAGCAGAGGCUGGGAUUGGAGAAAUUAGGAGAGUGAAGUGGAAAUAGCCUGGCCAGCGUGACUUAAACCGGCGGGGAGAUGUGCGAGUAGGAAUGGAGCCGCCUUGGGGUCGGGAUAGGACCCAGAGUGGCUUCUCAGUCAAAGGCCUUCAGAGGCAGAGGGAGCAUCUUGAGUGACCUUACCCGGGCCGCGAAAGACAAGAAACCUUUGGCACGGGAAGAGGCACUGACCUCUGGAAGCCACCAGGGCGGGUGUACGGUCAGGGUUUCAAGGUUAUUUUGGAAUUUAGUUGCUGUGGGUCCUGCACGGUGGCUCAUGCUUGUCAUCCCAGUGUAUUGGGAGGCCGAGGCAGGAGGAUUGCUUGAGCCCAGGAGUUCCAGAGCAGCCUGGACAACAUAGUGAGACUCUGUGUCUGCAAAAAAUAAAAAAGAAAGAAAAAAACAUUAAGAUGCUGUGUGUAUUGGAAAGUAUUUAUGGGUCAUUCUUUUGAGUUCCAUGUCCAAAAGCUUGCUGAAAUGCUUGAGAGUUUGUGUGCAGGCAUGUGAGAUUAGGAUACAUUGGCAGAACAGCCGUGUUCUCUGUUGCCCUGGUUUUGCCACCUGGGAGGAGUUACACGUAUUGAAGGUUAGUAAGUCCACGCCUCUUUGCUUCUGGGGAAAAAGGUACUUUGGAAACCAGUAUUAUGUGGGAACGUGUCUUGGUUGGUACAGCCUCGGGUUAAUGGGAGACAGCUGCCCUCAGCUCUGCAGGUAGCAUCAAAUACGGUGGCCUCGAGCCCACAUGGGUCACACCUGGGCUGUCCCUGGGGAAGCCCGCCACGGCGGGUCGCCUGGGCAUUCUUUCCCUGGCAGAGCCGAAGUCACAAUUUGUUUGCAGACUCUGUAAAGAACUUUACCCUUCCGAGAUAUGAUCUCGAACGUGUUGGAGCAUUUGGACGCAUUUCUUUUAAGGAAGUUCACC